rnacentral:lncRNA from 1 species
AUUCUAUCCCUGUGCUCAAGUUCUUCAGGAGCACCUCACUGUCUCCCUCUGCCCACCCACCUGCACCUGACAGCUGUGGGCUGUGCUCUCAGGGAGGCACCGUCAGAUGCUACCAGACUACAGAGGAGAGCACCCUCAAUCCUGACUGAAGGCAAAGGGAAGAGAGGUCAUCCAGGACAAAAGUACAGAAUGAAAAGAAAAAGCAACUAAGCACGAAAUCUUGGAGAAUGUCCUCAUUGAAGGGUCCUGAGCACCAAGGGUACAGUCAGAAAUGAUGAAUCCAGAAAUGAUGCCCUCCAGAACUUCUGGUGAGGAAGGCACUCAGGAAAAUGCAGCACCCUAUGGAGGCCCAGAAAGGAGGGCAUUCAGGAAGAACACAGUCUGAUGGUGUCAAGUGCAGCGGAGGCUAAGAGCCUCAGUGCCUCCUUCAGAGAUGCGGUGGAUAUUAGCUUCUGUUGUAUCCUUCAUACAGAACCUGGUGCUGAGAGACAGCUUCUUCUUUUUUUUUUUUUCUUUAAACUUUUCUUAAGACUAGUCAAGUACAGUAUCAAGAAGACGGGAAAGAGUAGAACAAGGAAUUGGAUCCGUAACUGACUGUGAACAAUCAAUUGAGGUAACUCAUUACCUUUGAACCAACCUGGGAGGCAGCCUUGUGACUCACCUCAAUCCUCAAUCUUCUCAGCUAGUUCACUUUGGCCUGGCUCAGGGGCUGACCUAGAAUGAUCCUGUCCAGAAGGACCCUGGAUGUUCUUAGAGACACAGACUGCUAGGGCUGGCAGGGACUUUUCAUCCAAUUCCUCUGUGACAGAGGAGGAAGUGGAGGUGCAGAAGGAGAGGUGAGCUGCCUGUGGUCCUUCAGCUUACUAAUGGCAGUGUUAGGACUGGACCUGAGGGCUCUUCCCUCCAGUCCGGCGCUAUUUAUUCCAUGACAGUGCCUCUCAAACUGUGUUCUCACAAGCAGCUAGUGCUCAGGCAGCUGGACUGAGGCCCUGCCUGCCAAAUCAAAUAUUGGAGGUCUUUCUCCAAUGUGCAGAAAAAAAAAGUAAUUAAUGGGUUAAGUUUCCUUAGGGUUAAAUUAUUUUUCCAUUAAUGCUUCUUAAACCAUUGUCACCUGCUACCAAUUGUCUACUAGCCAAUGCAUGCAGGCAACAAAACAAAAGGAUAAGCCACAAGUAAAUAAGAACAAGAACAACCAAAGCCUUGGAAACACACCAUCAUUCUUAAGUUAAAGGCUUAAAAAAAAAAUAGAGGAAGACUGCUAUGACUGUGGACUUUCUAUUGCAUUCACAUAAUAAAAUCAUGCGACAUUGUUUUGAAUUCAAA